rnacentral:rRNA from 1 species
GCGGCAAAAGCUCAAAUUGAAAUCGGCCGCCAGGUCGAGUUGUAAUUUGUAGAUUGUAUCUUGAGAGCGGAUUAAAGUCUGUUGGAACACAGCGCCYUAGAGGGUGACAGCCCCGUAAAAUCUAUUCUCAUUGUAAGAUACUUUCGAAGAGUCGAGUUGUUUGGGAAUGCAGCUCUAAGUGGGAGGUAAAUUCCUUCUAAAGCUAAAUAUUGACGAGAGACCGAUAGCGAACAAGUACUGUGAAGGAAAGAUGAAAAGCACUUUGAAAAGAGAGUGAAAAAGUACGUGAAAUUGUUAAAAGGGAAGGGUAUUGAAUCAGACUUGGUGCUGUUGUUCAACUGUGUUUCGGCAUAGUGUACUCAGCAGUACUAGGCCAAGGUGGGGUGUUUGGGAGUGARAAAGAAGUUGGAACGUAACUCUUNCGGAGUGUUAUAGCCUACUUWGCAUAGCUCCUCAGGCGCCUCAGGACUGCGCUUNCGGCAAGGACCUGGCAAA